AACAGGGAUUGCCCUAGUAACGGCGAGUGAAGCGGCAACAGCUCAAAUUUGAAAUCUGGCUCUUUUAGAGUCCGAGUUGUAAUUUGCAGAGGGCGCUUUGGCUUUGGCAGCGGUCCAAGUUCCUUGGAACAGGACGUCACAGAGGGUGAGAAUCCCGUACGUGGUCGCUAGCUAUUGCCGUGUAAAGCCCCUUCGACGAGUCGAGUUGUUUGGGAAUGCAGCUCUAAAUGGGAGGUAAAUUUCUUCUAAAGCUAAAUAUUGGCCAGAGACCGAUAGCGCACAAGUAGAGUGAUCGAAAGAUGAAAAGCACUUUGGAAAGAGAGUCAAACAGCACGUGAAAUUGUUGAAAGGGAAGCGCUUGCAGCCAGACUUGCUUGCAGUUGCUCAUCCGGGCUUUUGCCCGGUGCACUCUUCUGCAGGCAGGCCAGCAUCAGUUUGGGCGGUGGGAUAAAGGUCUCUGACACGUUCCUUCCUUCGGGUUGGCCAUAUAGGGGAGACGUCAUACCACCAGCCUGGACUGAGGUCCGCGCAUCUGCUAGGAUGCUGGCGUAAUGGCUGUAAGCGGCCCGUCUUGAAACACGGACCAAGGAGUCUAACAUCUAUGCGAGUGUUUGGGUGUCAAGCCCGAGCGCGUAAUGAAAGUGAACGGAGGUGGGAACCCGCAAGGGUGCACCAUCGACCGAUCCUGAAGUUUACGGAAGGAUUUGAGUAAGAGCAUGGCUGUUGGGACCCGAAAGAUGGUGAACUAUGCUUGAAUAGGGUGAAGCCAGAGGAAACUCUGGUGGAGGCUCGCAGCGGUUCUGACGUGCAAAUCGAUCGUCAAAUUUGGGCAUAGGGGCGAAAGACUAAUCGAACU
rnacentral:rRNA from 1 species